rnacentral:rRNA from 1 species
AUCGGUUAAAUCAAUAUACAUGGUAAGAUAAAUCUCGUCGCUGAGAGACACACAAACAACUUAACAAAAUAAAUAAAAAGUUUUGAAAAAAGUUGUUGACAAAGUUUCGAAGUGAUGCUAAACUAAGAAAGUCGCUUGAGGGCGACGACGAAAUGGUCUUUGAAAAUUAAACAGAAGAUAUUAACAUAAACCAGCAAUUCUUUUAUAAGUAAUAUGAGUAUAGAUUAAACUUUUAAAUUGAGAGUUUGGACCCGCGGCGCAUUAGCUAGUUGGUGGGGUAACGGCCUACCAAGGCGACGAUGCGUAGCCGACCUGAGAGGGUGAUCGGCCACAUUGGGACUGAGACACGGCCCAGACUCCUACGGGAGGCAGCAGUGGGGAAUAUUGCACAAUGGGGGAAACCCUGAUGCAGCAACGCCGCGUGAGUGAUGAAGGUUUUCGGAUCGUAAAGCUCUGUCUUUGGGGAAGAUAAUGACGGUACCCAAGGAGGAAGCCACGGCUAACUACGUGCCAGCAGCCGCGGUAAUACGUAGGUGGCGAGCGUUAUCCGGAUUUACUGGGCGUAAAGGGAGCGUAGGCGGAUGAUUAAGUGGGAUGUGAAAUACCCGGGCUCAACUUGGGUGCUGCAUUCCAAACUGGUUAUCUAGAGUGCAGGAGAGGAGAGUGGAAUUCCUAGUGUAGCGGUGAAAUGCGUAGAGAUUAGGAAGAACACCAGUGGCGAAGGCGACUCUCUGGACUGUAACUGGUAGUCCACGCCGUAAACGAUGAAUACUAGGUGUGGGGGUUUCAACACCUCCGUGCCGCCGCUAACGCAUUAAGUAUUCCGCCUGGGGAGUACGGUCGCAAGAUUAAAACUCAAAGGAAUUGACGGGGACCCGCACAAGUAGCGGAGCAUGUGGUUUAAUUCGAAGCAACGCGAAGAACCUUACCUACACUUGACAUCCCUUGCAUUACUCUUAAUCGAGGAAAUCCCUUCGGGGACAAGGUGACAGGUGGUGCAUGGUUGUCGUCAGCUCGUGUCGUGAGAUGUUGGGUUAAGUCCCGCAACGAGCGCAACCCUUGUCGUUAGUUACUACCAUUAAGUUGAGGACUCUAGCGAGACUGCCUGGGUUAACCAGGAGGAAGGUGGGGAUGACGUCAAAUCAUCAUGCCCCUUAUGUGUAGGGCUACACACGUGCUACAAUGGCUGGUACAGAGAGAUGCAAUACCGCGAGGUGGAGCCAAACUUAAAAACCAGUCUCAGUUCGGAUUGUAGGCUGAAACUCGCCUACAUGAAGCUGGAGUUACUAGUAAUCGCGAAUCAGAAUGUCGCGGUGAAUACGUUCCCGGGUCUUGUACACACCGCCCGUCACACCAUGAGAGUUGGCAAUACCCGAAGUCCGUGAGCUAACCGCAAGGAGGCAGCGGCCGAAGGUAGGGUCAGCGAUUGGGGUGAAGUCGUAACAAGGUAGCCGUAGGAGAACCUGCGGCUGGAUCACCUCCUUU